rnacentral:lncRNA from 1 species
GUUUUAAUGGAUAAGAGAGCUUCCUUGGGACCUUCCUGGGUGCUUGAUAGGUUCUGAUCUCGUGCCUGAUCUGAAGAGAAAAUAGCUGUUGGACAUUAAUGUCGGUUUGCUCCAAAUAAGGCAAGUUUGAGUAAAUGAGGAUCCUCCUGAUCCAGUGGUUGCUGGUGCAUGGUAUGAACUUGCAGAACUCCACCUGGACUCCUAGAAUAUCU